rnacentral:rRNA from 1 species
UACGUAGGGGGCGAGCGUUGUCCGGAUUCAUUGGGCGUAAAGCGCGCGUAGGCGGCUCCGCAAGUCGGCCGUGAAAUCUCCGGGCUCAACUCGGAGGGGUCGGGCGAGACUGCGAGGCUCGAGGUGGGCAGAGGGCAGUGGAAUUCCGGGUGUAGUGGUGGAAUGCGUAGAGAGUCCGGAGGAACACCAGUGGCGAAGGCGGCUGCCUGGGCCUGGCCUGACGCUGAGGCGCGAAAGCGUGGGGAGC